rnacentral:rRNA from 1 species
ACUACAUCCUAGGUCCCGUUUUAGCAAGAUGUGGCUGGAAUUGUUCCUUGGUGAUGUCGCUCGGAUGACCACGUCUGCAUCCAGCAGCUUCUAGUCCACAGUUGAUUAAAAAAAGCAAGAGGCACCACCAAAUCCCCACCGAUGUCACCACCCACUGCGUGCCCCUUCUUAUCCACAACACGUCGCCAUUCCUCAUCACCCAAGCGCCGCUCCGCCUCCAUCUUCCUCCUGCUGCCUGACCACCCAUCGUUGCUCCUCCUCCUCUUCUCCUCUUCUCCAUCCGCCUCACACCCAAGUGUUGCUUUCCUGUUCUUGGCCGCGGUGGCUGGCCUGAGCCACAUCCCAGCUGACAGCGUCGGCGUGCUUUCUGGCUACGGCUGGGGCGUUGGUGGCCUGCUCAUCGGCGCACUCGGGCCGGGGCGGAGCCCCCUUCCUUGCAGUGGUGAUGGAGCCCCUCCUCCCAGAGGGUGGCUGGGGGCAACCGAGGUUGCGGGGCAGGUGUGCAGUGGCUCGGUUGCGCCAGAUCUGGCGGCUGGCCAGCACGCGCGGGGGGCGGUCUGGUGGUGGUGUUCGUCUGCCGGUGGCCACGGAUGUGGGAGUGCCGAAGCUGCCUCCGGUGAAAGCCCCUGGGCCCCGGUUUUCUCUUCCAUGAGCUGGUCUCUGUAUCAGCAAUGGGCAUCAAUUUUCUCUAUAUCUUUAGUUCGGCUCUCUCUCCUUCUUUAGGAUUAUUAGCUCAAAUGGCAAUUAAGACAUUUCUUUCUAUUAGGCUCGGUGCUUUUCUUUGGAUUCAUGUGCAUCUCCUCUUUGCUCAUUUUCAAUUGGUGACGCAUAUAGUAGAUGCGGCAGGCAGCUUUCUUGAUUUUUCUCUAGGGUAAACAUGAACAUCUCAUCCGCUUUUUGUUGGCUUGUUGAUCUUGUAAUGCAUGAAAUAAGUUGGUUGGAUUUUAUGUAAUAGAGCAGGUAGGACUAUUAAUUGGAAUCUGAAAUUUUAGCACAGGCACAAGACUUGGUUCCUAAGGCAGGAAGAGGAGGAGCUCGGGCGCGCUGGUGAGAGGAGCCGAAGUGGAACGGUGGUGCCGGGUGAUGCGGUCGCCGGCGUCGGCCGGCAGCGGAUUGAGCAUCACGUGGGCCGCGAGCUUCUUUGUAAACCACAGGGGCUUCUUUGUAAAAAAGCGUGACGGACAACAGAAAUCCAACCAUCCGGAGCUGUCGCCGCCGCGAAGAGCGCCGCCCCACCACGCCGGAAAGGAAGCAUGUGGAUAAGAUAGAACAAAGGGUCGCGGACCGAAUUCUUACAAACGUAGGGUUCUUUUUUGUAAAAAUGAAUCGUUAUCUCAGAUCCACUUAAACAGGGACUGCGGGUUGAAUUCUCACAAGCAGAGGGGCUUUUCUGGAAAAGUGCCAACGACGGACGGGCAGAAGCACUCCGUGCUUUAUUAGUAGGG